rnacentral:misc_RNA from 1 species
GCUGCACCAGCUGUAUUUGCUUCACAAAACACAGGUGGUGAUCAUGUAUAUUGGGACUCUAGAGCUUCUCCAGAAGACAUGAUUGAGAUGUGGAAUAACCAUGAUGUUGCUAGAGAGUGGAUGAAAUCUGGAGAAAAACGNNNNNNNNUACGCUUUUCACAUGACAAGGACAAGAGACCGUAUCUUUCCCGGGUAGAAGUGAAGGCAGUUGCGGAAACAAUUCUUUCAAAGCACUUUAGUACAAGGGGAGUUAAAUCAUCAGUCCUUUGUGCCCUUGCGGAAAUGGUUAGUAUGCGUUU